rnacentral:misc_RNA from 1 species
GUAGGUGAACCUGCGGAAGGAUCAUUAACGUUUGCAUCAAACACGCAACGUAUUGUAAAAAAUGAAAAUGAAAAAAAAUUCAAAGUUCUCUCCGUAAAAGGAGAGAAUGAGAAUGAGAAAAGAUGGAAAAAAAGUCGAACGAAUAAAAUUUGUCGAACGAAUUUUUUUUAUUAAAUAAAAAAAAAAACAAAAACAAAAAUGAAACUGAAAUGAUUACCCUGAACGGUGGAUCACUUGGCUCGU